GAUGAACGCUGGCGGCGUGCCUAAUACAUGCAAGUCGAGCGAACAGACGAGGAGCUUGCUCCUCUGACGUUAGCGGCGGACGGGUGAGUAACACGUGGAUAACCUACCUAUAAGACUGGGAUAACUUCGGGAAACCGGAGCUAAUACCGGAUAACAUGUUGAACCGCAUGGUUCAACAGUGAAAGACGGUCUUGCUGUCACUUAUAGAUGGAUCCGCGCCGCAUUAGCUAGUUGGUAAGGUAACGGCUUACCAAGGCAACGAUGCGUAGCCGACCUGAGAGGGUGAUCGGCUACACUGGAACUGAGACACGGUCCAGACUCCCACGGGAGGCAGCAGUAGGGAAUCUUCCGCAAUGGGCGAAAGCCUGACGGAGCAACGCCGCGUGAGUGAAGAAGGUCUUCGGAUCGUAAAACUCUGUUAUUAGGGAAGAACAAAUGUGUAAGUAACUAUGCACGUCUUGACGGUACCUAAUCAGAAAGCCACGGCUAACUACGUG
rnacentral:rRNA from 1 species